rnacentral:rRNA from 1 species
GGGGCGAAGUCGUAACAAGGUAGCCGUAGGGGAACCUGCGGCUGGAUCACCUCCUUUCUGGAGU